UCCAUGCCCGCGUUCCCGCGCCUCGCCGCCUCGUUCUCCCGCCUCCCGCCCCGGCUCCUCAGCGGCGCCGCCGCCGCCGCCAUGUCCGCCGCCGGGCUCAAAUCGGUGGACUACGAGGUGUCCGGCCGAGUGCAGGGCGUUUGCUUCAGAAUGUACACGGAGUCCGAAGCUAAGAAAAUGGGUCUGGUCGGUUGGGUCAAGAACACCCGCCAAGGGACAGUCAUCGGCCAAGUUCAGGGUCCUGUGGAGAAGGUGAAUUCCAUAACUUUGCCGGGCGCAUGUUUUGAUCCAAGUAAUUUCCCUGAGGAUGAAGUCUGCGCCAAGAUAAAAUCCAAAUACUUUAUAUGGCAACAAGAUGUAUUACAGGAGCGACAUAAACAAAAUCACCAUCGUAUACAGUGGCCAGGAAGACCUGGCUUACUAAGGUUGGAAGUCCCAGCUCUCACAUUUCCCGAACUGAUUUUUCUAACGAGAAGACCAUCUCGAAGCUCGAUUACUCCAGUUUUAGCAUCAAAUACUAACGGAGAAACAGCCUGCCGCUUAAAAUGCUUAGUAAGCUCCGUGACUUGUUUUAAUCCAUAAAAUGGAAUGGCAGCGCUUUUCGGUGUCUCCUGCGUUUGAUUAAGAAGAAAGCAUCAUCCAUUAUAAGGUGCCAUAAAAACCUGAAAAUGGCAAAGAUCACGUGGCUACAAAGGAUUAAGAAAAACCCACUGCAGGAUUCCGGCCAGAAAACGACCCCAGAAACUCACUUCGAAACUUCUUUCGUGGAGCUGGGUUCAACGAUCCCUACAUGACAUGAUCAAAAUCCAUAGCGGCACAUCAGAAUGUGAAAAAUGAUGGGGCGGAAGGUUAAAGUUAGCGGGUUUUCAAAUAUGGUACCCCAAAGAGCAUAGUGGGGUUUUAGUCACCCGAUUUCUCUACAUGACACCAAUCUGUCACUUUUCAUCUCCCUCAUGCUCUUUUGCCUUUCCCAGCAGUCUUUAUUCUUAGAAAACUAGAGGCAUUUUUGCCCUUAGAAUCCUCUCACUCGACAAAGUGAACCGGAUUAGUGAAGAGAGCUUAAUGAUAAUGCACAGCUCAGCAGUGCUACUGGUUGAAAACUAUUGUAAAUGCUGAUUGGGAGCUAUCACUUUCAGUUUGUGAGCUGAAAGAAAGCAUGAAAGGACUGUGCAAAUAGACCGAUUCAGGCCUGGGUUUUGUUUUUUUUUAUAGUUCAGCCUGAUGUGACAAAAUAAUGACCCCCCAAAUAAUUGUUGGAUUGGUUAAGCACUUACUGUGUGUCAAGCACUAUACUAAAUAUUGGAGGAAAUACAAGUUGGACAGGACAGACAUGGGGCCCUGGACCACCUAAGCAGGAGGGAGAACAGAUAUUGAAUCCCCAUCCUGCAAGUGAGGGAACCGAGGCCCAGAGACGUGAAGUGACUUGUCCAAGGUCACCCAGUGGACAAGUGACGAGUCGGGAUUAGAACCCAGAUCUGAUGACUCCCAGGACUGUUCUCUACAGGGCCACGGGGGAAGUAUUUCUUCCCUUUUAGCUCCUUGCAGACAGGGAAUGUGUCUGUUCUUUUGUUCCCUUGUUCUCUGCUCACAGU